rnacentral:rRNA from 1 species
UCGAUUCCCUUAGUAGCGGCGAGCGAAACGGGAAGAGCCCAAACCAACAAGCUUGCUUGUUGGGGUUGUAGGACACUCUAUACGGAGUUACAAAGGACGACAUUAGACGAAUCAUCUGGAAAGAUGAAUCAAAGAAGGUAAUAAUCCUGUAGUCGAAAAUGUUGUCUCUCUUGAGUGGAUCCUGAGUACGACGGAGCACGUGAAAUUCCGUCGGAAUCUGGGAGGACCAUCUCCUAAGGCUAAAUACUCUCUAGUGACCGAUAGUGAACCAGUACCGUGAGGGAAAGGUGAAAAGCACCCCGGAAGGGGAGUGAAAUAGAACCUGAAACCGUGUGCUUACAAGUAGUCAGAGCCCGUUAAUGGGUGAUGGCGUGCCUUUUGUAGAAUGAACCGGCGAGUUACGAUUUGAUGCAAGGUUAAGCAGUAAAUGUGGAGCCGUAGCGAAAGCGAGUCUGAAUAGGGCGUUUAGUAUUUGGUCGUAGACCCGAAACCAGGUGAUCUACCCUUGGUCAGGUUGAAGUUCAGGUAACACUGAAUGGAGGACCGAACCGACUUACGUUGAAAAGUGAGCGGAUGAACUGAGGGUAGCGGAGAAAUUCCAAUCGAACCUGGAGAUAGCUGGUUCUCUCCGAAAUAGCUUUAGGGCUAGCCUCAAGUGAUGAUUAUUGGAGGUAGAGCACUGUUUGGACGAGGGGCCCC